AACGAACGCUGGCGGCAGGCUUAACACAUGCAAGUCGAGCGCCCAGCAAGGGGAGCGGCAGACGGGUGAGUAACGCGUGGGAAUCUACCCAUCUCUACGGAAUAACGCAUGGAAACGUGUGCUAAUACCGUAUACGUCCCUCAGGAGAAAGAUUUAUCGGGGAUGGAUGAGCCCGCGUUGGAUUAGUUAGUUGGUGGGGUAAAGGUCUACCAAGGCGACGAUCCAUAGCUGGUCUGAGAGGAUGAUCAGCCACACUGGGACUGAGACACGGCCCAGACUCCUACGGGAGGCAGCAGUGGGGAAUAUUGGACAAUGGGCGCAAGCCUGAUCCAGCCAUGCCGCGUGAGUGAUGAAGGCCCUAGGGUUGUAAAGCUCUUUCACCGGUGAAGAUAAUGACGGUAACCGGAGAAGAAGCCCCGGCUAACGUCGUGCCAGCAGCCGCGGUAACAC
rnacentral:rRNA from 1 species